GGCUGCCGACGGGCAGCCGCCGCCGCCUUUUGUUGUUUAGGCCUAACGUCUCACUUAUUUCAAGUUUAAAAUCAAUAUUUCUCUAUAUUUAAAUUAUUUCAAAGAUAAUGUGAAUAUUAGCUAUUAUUUACUGUGAUUUUAUGUAGAUUUUUACAGUAGAAUCUGUGUAAAUUCAGUGUAAUAAAUACCACGGAGUUCAGUAGGGGUAGCAGAGAAUGGUCCCACCCCAUUUUUUUCCAUUUUGGGUACCACCCCUCGAAAAUUAUUAUUAUGGAGUUAUUCAUUUGACCACUGGACUUUGGAGGAUGCUCAUCGGAUGCGAAGCAUGGUGUUCCCCGAGGGGCGGCGGAGUCGGCAUCGAGCGCUGCUUGGUCGGUGAGCUUUUAAGAUAUUGCCAGGCGUCUCGAUAUGGUGUGAAAAUGCCACAAUUGAAUCGUAAAGUUUGGAUCUGUGGAGUCGGCAGACGUGCGCGCACUAAAUUUAACUUGGGCACUUAUCGGCACGUCUGGUGAAUAUGAGUUUUUAAUGUUCUUCGUAGUAUUUCAGAUGCUCGGCGUUGAAGUGGUGCUUGAAGAGAAGAGAAGAGAAGCGCGUCGCCUUCUGUACGUAUACUGAAUGUAUCCUGAGUGCCUCAUUCUUUCCGGUAUACCUUCAGUAUACGUAACAGAAGAUGACACUUGUCGGCUGAAGACACGAAGAUUUCUUCAAGAUUGCUUCAAGAUAUCUUGCAACUUACUAUUUUACAUUGUAUGUGAUUUAUUUUAUGACCAAUUUGUUAGUAUAACUUUUAAUAGCAAUGUAAUUUGAUACAUGUUAGUGUUAAUGGUGUCAUUAUCUAGAUAGGUAUAAUGUUUAUCCACCUAUUUUCUUGUAAUUAAAUUAGGUUUACUACUGUACAAAAUAUACUGCAUAUAAAUUAUCUUGUCAUGUACUUUGUAAGUGAUUUUGACAUUGUAAAUAGCGACAUUAAGUAUUAUAAUUUUAACAAUCUCAAAUCUUGCUUUCAUAAAGUUAUUUCACAAAACUAUACUUGGUAGAAUUUAUCACGUGUCUUUUGAAAAUAAAAUAAAAUUUUAUUACACAAUA